AUGCAAGUCGAGCGAGGGCUCAUUCCCCGCAAGGGGAGUGGGUUCCUAGCGGCGAACGGGUGAGUAACACGUGGGCAACCUUUCCUAUCGCGGGGGAUAACAGCGGGAAACCGCUGCUAAUACCGCAUGUCGUCACCGGUCGCAUGGCCGGUGAAUAAAGCAGCAAUGCACGAUGGGGUGGGCCCGCGGCCUAUCAGCUAGUCGGUGGGGUCACGGCCUACCGAGGCGAUGACGGGUAGCUGGUCUGAGAGGACGACCAGCCACACGGGGACUGAGACACGGCCCCGACUCCUACGGGAGGCAGCGGUGAGGAAUCUUCCGCAAUGGGCGAAAGCCUGACGGAGCGACGCCGCGUGUGGGAUGAAGUCCUUCGGGAUGUAAACCACUGUUGGAGGGGAAGAUAGUGACGGUACCCUCCGAGAAAGCCCCGGCUAACUACGUGCCAGCAGCCGCGGUAACACGUAGGGGGCUAGCGUUAUCCAGAAUUACUGCGCGUAAAGCGCGUGUAGGCGGCUGGUUAAGUGUGAUGUGAAAUCUUCGGGCUCAACCCGAAAACUGC
rnacentral:rRNA from 1 species